AGUGAACGCUGGCGGUAGGCCUAACACAUGCGAGUCGAACGGCAGCACAGUAAGAGCUUGCUCUUACGGGUGGCGAGUGGCGGACGGGUGAGGAAUACAUCGGAAUCUACUUUUUCGUGGGGGAUAACGUAGGGAAACUUACGCUAAUACCGCAUACGACCUACGGAUGAAAGCAGGGGAUCUUCGGACCUUGCGCGAUUGAAUGAGCCGAUGUCGGAUUAGCUAGUUGGCGGGGUAAAGGCCCACCAAGGCGACGAUCCGUAGCUGGUCUGAGAGGAUGAUCAGCCACACUGGAACUGAGACACGGUCCAGACUCCUACGGGAGGCAGCAGUGGGGAAUAUUGGACAAUGGGCGCAAGCCUGAUCCAGCCAUACCGCGUGGGUGAAGAAGGCCUUCGGGUUGUAAAGCCCUUUUGUUGGGAAAGAAAAGCAGCAGGUUAAUACCCCGCUGUUCUGACGGUACCCAAAGAAUAAGCACCGGCUAACUUCGUG
rnacentral:rRNA from 1 species